GAGAGAGGGCUUGCCCUGCAACGAAGGCUGCUAUCCCUCGUCCCAUCGGUUGGAAUCCGGUGCUUUCUCG
rnacentral:tRNA from 1 species